rnacentral:lncRNA from 1 species
UUUUUUUUUUUGGUGUUGAAUAUAGCAUAUUUUAGUGUUGGGGACCUAGGAUUUGCAAAAAAAUGGCUGAUUAAUAGUUGACCGAUAAAAUUGAUUAAUCAGCCGAUUUCUGAUUAAUCUCUAAUCCCUAGUUGACCGAGAUGCUAACAAUAAGCGAUAUCCUCAACAUUGGUUUGGAGACACUGUCAUUUUAGCUCUGACCCUCCUACUGUCGCUGGAUCACCGCCAAACACCACCACACACGAGCUCCCUACUGCUCAAGCCUCCCUCCAACUUGCAGUGACCUCUAAUUGUUGGCCGCCGCCACUACUCACCUGGUCGGAGCACUAUGGAGGCUCCAUCUGUCCCCUCCUUUCUUCUCCCCCACCUACAAACCUCCACCGGUUGGAGGCACAGAGGACCUAGCACAAUAUUUUUCUCAUUGGCUGAUAGAGGAAUGUAAGGGAAGAAAGAGGUGUGGGGACCAAAUGUCGUGGUGCUCUCAGCGGUCAACCAUGAUGAAGCGCCAAUAGUCCCAUCGUUGAUCCUACCUAGCAACCACCAUGUCAUCGCACCAAGGGCCACCUUCCUCCCACUCCAACCUGCUGCUCACCAUGUUGUCCGCCCGCUCAUGCCUACCCACACGCCGAUACACUUUGAAAUUGUUGGUCACCGCAUGAUUAGAAUAGGAACAUGAGAGUGUAUAAACGCUUUGGGCCUAGAGGUUGUCCCGAUGCAGCCGAGCCUAAAGGAACUUUGGCUCGUCGAUCGACCUGGGUGAAGAAGAGUUAUUCUUCACCCUUGGUAUCUAUUUUGUGAGGUUGGAUUGCGUAGUUGGUCAGUGGAGCACUAAUUUGAGAGGGAGAACAUCAACUUUGUCAACAAAUUAGUGCACUGGUUUGACAAAUGCUUUGUCAGAUAGGUCAAUAGAUGUUCAAAUGGGCUGAAACUUUCUCAGUUCGUGAUGGACUUGUUAAAUUGGAUUUUCUCCAACUCUGAGGAAAUUUGAAUAUCUGGUUUACUCUACAUGAGCUGAACUAUCGAGGUAUAUCCACAUUGGUUUGUAGCCAACUCAGAGGUACAUCAUCUUGGUAUAUUGUCAGCCAAAGGGUUCAAACUUUGUCUGUUUAAGCUGGAUUUUUUACAUUGUGUCAGGACACGUCGAUGUGCAAGUCUGCCAAGUUCCACACAAUUUUUAUUUGUGGUUCAAGAGUAGUUAAAUGCAAUCACUAUGUUUUAGCUCAAAUGGAUACUCUUCAUUUUUCACUUUAGGCGUUGUUUGGAUACGUGAUAUAUACAAAAUGGGAUCUCAACAAAUCAGGAAAAUGAUGUAACAAACUAAAAUCCUGUUUGGCAACUCUAUCUAAUCCGUGAAUAUCCGGUUUUCUAAAGUCCAGGAUUUCAUGGAAAAAUGAGGGUUAGUUAUUUUUUUCCAAAAACGCGAUCUACAUAUACUCGAUCGUUGAUUUUUUUUGCUCUGCGUCCGUCUUUUUCUCAACAAACACGUUGCCAUGUGUGGGCGGAAAGCCUAUCCAAACCAAACAAGAAACGUGACAAGUUGGUUCUACAUUUCUCCUAGUCCAAACAUCUUUUUCUAUAAACUGGUUACACACAUAACAAUUGAUAAAAUAGAUUUUACUAAAAAUCAGCUAAAAACAAGUUCUAUAUAAUCCGGUCGCUACCCAAACAACCACUUAGGGUUGUUGUAUAAACGAUGUAGUUAUCUUGUCGAUGUCGUUGAUAUUGUGAUGUACCUCUAGAGGUUCUAGAUAAUACUCAUUAUAGCUAUUUAUAUCAUCAAUAGUGAAAGUGUAGUGGGCCACUAAGAUGUGGUUCUUACUCAUCUCGAUUAGAGGAGGGUUUCCUUGUAAAUGAUUGUGUUACAUGUACAUGACUGUCAUGUAUCCCGUUAUUUACCUAUUGAUUGUGACUAUUCUCGAAGUUCAUCACGAGUUGAGAGAGGGUUCACUUUGGAGGGGGGGCUUAUUUUUUGUUGGGGCACAAGAUGAGAGAUUGAGUUAUGUAUAUAUUAUGUCGAGAUAAAUCAGUGCAUUUUUUAUUGUUGUCCCUCUAAGAAGAUAGUUGGGUAGGGAUGCAAGCUGAAUUUUCUGCAAUGCCUUCAUCUAUUGGCAUUGAUUGGUUUUGUAUAAGCACAAUUAUUAAAAUGGAACUUCUUAAACUCAGCGGGCUGAAAAGAUAUGUUGCACCGGCUGUCUCCUUCGUGAAACAUGUGCCCAUGUGGAUCCCGCCAACCGAUCCCCUCCCACAUCCUUAUCUCUUCAGUGAAGUUCUCGUCCACACAUCUUUCUCCCACUUUCAUCUCUCGUUUGUCAUGCCCGGGAGAGGGAUCCCAUGGUGACCCACAAUCCCUUACAGAUGCAAAUCGGGAGGGCCAACACCGACCAUCGCCUACUACAUCUGAAAGUGCAACUAAUCCCCGGGUGGUUUUGGUAAUUUAUAACAACAUAUACCUCAUUGAACUAAUGUCCAUUCAAGAUAAAAAUUUUAGGGUGUUCUGUAACACCCCAAAAAUUUAACCAGGUUUUAGUUAUUAAAAUUUUGCCAAGAGUUUAAAUUUUUUUUGCAUGCAAGUAUAUCUCUGUUGAUUUCAAAACUUUUCUUUUAAUAUUAAGAAUUUUUUCCCAAGUGGAUCCUUCCAAAAUAUAUUGGACUUAUUUUCCCUCUCAUUUAAAAAACAUCUCUCAAUCAGGAGAUUUAUUUAUAAAAUUAUUUCACCCUGAGCUUUAUUCAUCAAAUGACUUGUUUUAAAAUUUGGAGCUCUUUUUGAACUACAACCAUUUGAUUUACUUAACAAAAAAUUUCACCAAGGUUUGGAGAUAUCAUGUGAUGUCUCUAAAUCACUUUUGUGCAAUAAUAUAUUUCAUUCAUUGGAUAUUUUGAGUUCUACACCAAGUUUUCAAAUCUGGUCCAGUGGGCAAUUUUGCACUACAACCCUUUUAAAUAAUUCUUUCUAGUCUCCAUCAAAAUUAUGGGAUAUUGGUAGUAGCAUAUGAUUCAACAUUAUGCAAAAACCUAGUGCUGUUCUUUGAAAAUUUUGAGUGAAUCAACCUCUUUUUCAUUCUGGUCCAGCCUUGUGAUUUCUACUGCAACCCUAUUUAAUUUUGCUCCAAAGAUCUUGUGUUUUCUCCUACUUGUAGACAGCCCUACAAAACCCCUAAAUCCAGGAGCAUGCACCCAUUGGGUUAAUUUUGGUUCAUGAAAUAAUGUCAUUUAUUUCAUGUCCAGAAAUGUAGUUUUGCAAAACUUGCACUAGCAAGUUUCCCCCUUUGUCCAAAUAACCUCACCACUCUCUCUUGCAUCUAAGGAGACACUGAUCUGGAGUUUUUGACCACCCCAAGACUUGCCUAAGUGCCAGUGGCAUUUUGUCAAACACCUGGAGUGCAUGGUCAGAUUUGGCAUGGAUUUUAGUUAGCAGUGUCUCACCGCGCCGUCCACGUGUUUAAGUGAAGGCGUAAUCCACCCCAGUACGUUUCUCCCGCUUCGAAAGUGUAUUCCAUUCUGAAACGUUUUUCUUUUUCUGUUUUAUUUAAAAUCAGAUUUGACCAAAACUUUGACUGGUUAUAUCUUUUUAAAUACAACUCCAAAUGAAAUGAUUCUUUUUCCUACCUCUCUCAAAUUUCACCUAGUUUAUUUUAAGAUUUAUUUGAAAAAAAAUCAGAACAACUUUUGGUGCUGUUUUUAUUUUGUGUGUUAAUUCUUUUAUAUUGCUAAAAUAGGAUUUUUGAAGAGAGGAGAAAUGUUUCAAGUUUUGGAGUGCACCCUGCCUUUCCACACAUUGAAGGCAAGCAUUCUAAACCCCGGCAUAAUAUUUUUGUGUGUUCGAUGACACGUUCAUAACAUCACCUCACUUUGGAGAAACUUGUUAUUUCAUGUGAUAUGAUCAUAUGCAUGGGUGCAUGUUAUUGAUUUCCAUGCUGUUGGAAAUGGACACACUUGUGAUGAUAAUCACCCUCAUGUGCCUUGCAUGCAUACCGGCAGGAACCCGGGAAAACCUCUGCCUUGGGUAGGCAUGAGUUUGUCGCCGGUCUCCGUCGGGACGGUUAUGUCUGGUAGGGCAUGGCAAGGUGAUAUGAGCGGUGACUCUGUUGGUUGAAAUAUAUUCGUCAUGCUAAUCUUGCAGGGAAUACUUAAACCUCCUGAGUCGACCGUAGAUCGAGUCUUGUGCCAGUAACCCCCAUACUUGUUUCGUACUACCACUCGUCUCUACAGCAAGUAGAGUACGGUUCAGUAAGUUGUCAACCUCUUUCUAGCACACACCGUACAGAGAGGCCAUGGUGGAAGAUACCGGUUGUAGCUGGUAGGCAGGCCACCUGGUCCGGGGGCAUGGGUGUUUCCGGUUGGGACCGAGAGGGGAGGCCACCCCUUAGAGCGCGCGAUAUAAAUUUGAUCCCAUGCUACGCGAGGUUGUAGCCUCCCCACUUAGAGUUUUCUUAACAGGUGUCGUGGGUGAUUCCAGACACGUGUGAGAUAAGCUGGUGUGUGCAAGUUAGGUGUGUUUUCAACAAAAAGACCGUAGACGGAAUUAGUCCCGAUGGACUAAAGAAAUCCGUUACUCGUGGGUAAAGAGUACACCCUCUGCAGAGAUUAAACCUAUUCGAAUAGCCAUGUCCAUGGUUAAGGAUUACAGUCUGGGAUGGGUCAAGUGUCGGUCUUAGUGUCGGUCUUCGGAGGUGAAACUGUUAACCAGAACUGGAACUACUACCUGUGACUUGUGAUAAUUAUGAUUAUUAUUAUUGUUGACUAACCCGUGAUAUUAUUGUUAUUAUCGAGUAUCUCUGGGAUGGUUCUACCUCCGGAAUAUUCACUAUGAUUGUUUAUUUUAAAGCCCUUUUUAUGGUGUCGCUCAGACGCCCGACUGUGGCAUUUCUUUUAAAGCCCUUUAUGUGGUGUCGCUCAGACGCCCGACUGUGGCAUUUCUUUUAAAGCCCUUUAUGUGGUGUCGCUCAGACGCCCAACUGUGGCAUUUCUUUUAAAGCCCUUUAUGUGGUGUCGCUCAGACGCCCGACUGUGGCAUUUCUUUUAAAGCCCUUUAUGUGGUGUCGCUCAGAUGCCCGACUGUAGCAAUUCUUUUAAAGCCCUUUAUGUGGUGUCGCUAAGACGCCCGACUGUGGCUUUGCUUGUUAUUUAUUUCAUAAAUUUUAAUACUACUAUGUUAUUGCAUUUUUACAAAUAACCGCCUGCACGCAUCAGAAUUUUAUUUACUAUUGUUGACUAAGGUCAUGAGCAUAAAAUAUUUUCAGCACAUCAUUGUUAUAUUAUACCUGUGUUCAUAAUAUUUGCGAGUACAUUCAAAGUACUCACUGGCUUGUCCCUGGCUAUUGUCUUGGCCAGAUUUCUUGCGCGGAAAGGAGCGACCAUGUUGAAAGCCCAGGAACCCACACAAUGGAGAUAGCAGCCUCGCGAAGAUAGGAGUUAACCUGGUCAGCUGUUCCUGUUGGGAAAUGGAGUCCCAUAGACACUGAUGUUUCACAACCCGCUUCCGCCAUCAACCACUAGAAACCUUUUGUUGUACUCACAGGCCAGAACGGUCUUGUACUACAUAUUUUGUAUUUGCUUGGAAUUUCUGUAUCAAGUUGGAGCCUCAUCAGCUAACAGUAAUCCUGGGGCUGAUGAGCACGACGGUCUUUUUCUGGAAAUUUAUACCCGAAAAACCGGUCGUGACAGACUUGGUAUCAGAGCCAGGCUGACCAUUGGCUAACCCUAUCUUAGCCAAGUCGAAAAACUUAGGCAAACCAACCCACUAGACCUUAGCCAAACCCCAGCCAAGCUUCCCAUGCAAGAUAGCCACACAGUGACCCCGACACUUUUGGCAGUCGGUGCCCAACCUAUCAGCCUAGCCUGUCGGUCACACACCAGUGACCGAUGGCAAAAAUGCCUCAUUCGCAAGCGUGCGGAAGAAGACUCCGUCCCCUUUUUCCUAUAAAAAGGGCACGCUAGUCUCAACCCAGCACAGCACAGCCGCUACCCCAAACCGAGCCACAAUGCCUGGACCCAUAGUGCACAACGAGACCACAGCAACCAACCUUGGAGGUUUUGUGACCAUCCUCGCAAACCUCACCCGUCGUGCCUAUGCAUUAGAGGAGCCACCAGAAUAUGUUGUGUACCAAGGACCCAUGAGCGGUGAAGAACGUCAAUUCUGGGCCACUGUGCACAUCUACGGUAGGGGUCUAGCACCCGAACGCCCCUACAGGUUCACCGGAAGAACAACUUCCUUUGAGCCACAAGCCAUACAACUAGCUGCUCGAGAGGCUAUAGUUCAUCUCAGGCACUUGUCGCCCAGAGUUAACUGUCGCUCGUUCCACCACUACCCCAGACGUGAAGGGUAUGGUAGACCACCCCAAGUUGCCAACGGAGAUCACGAGACAGAUCCUGCAUUGUUGCACCUGGUACGCUAUGUAAGUGCACUAGAGGAACUGUGCGAUCAAAUCACUAUUGAUUUAAUUGCAGCUCGUGGAGAGCUGGUUCGUCGAGCCCCGGCGAGAGAAGAAAACGAGCCCAACACCGACAACCCAGUCGUGUUGUUUGGACAACCGAUCGAGACCCCGAGAUCAGCUCCAGCCAUCAGCGAGAUGCUUUGAUGACCCCAGAAGUGCUUCGUCGCCUUUUGGGAGCACACUCCAACGGGGUUGUGGCCAACAAUCCCCGUGAUGAUCAUCAUCACUACCCCGACCCUGUCGUUCCUCCGCCAUCUCCGACUAACCCCGACAGUGAGACACGUGGAGAAGCCUCGACAUCCACCAGGCACGCCCGUUUAGACAUAAACAAGGUAGACUAAGCCGUAUGAGUAGCACUGAGUUUCAGUGUAUCCUCGCGUUGUAAUCGUGCGACCAUGUAUAUUAACGCAGCCUGUCAUUGUGCCUCUGCUUUAAUGGUAGCCUUGCGUAUUUUAUUUGGUCAGCGCAUAGUAGUAUAUUUUUCCGGGCACAACUACCAAAACCAACCCGACGACAACCACAGUAACACGUCUCUUUAUGAGAUAUGUGUAUCUCCGACACUGACCCGACCUUUGGAGCUAAGCUGGCAAAUUUAUUACCUUUCACCACAGUAAAACGAAUCCGGCUCCAUUGCUAUAUAAAGGCCACCUUGUGACCUUACCCAGCAACCCUCACCUUGUGCACCACACUCACAACCUUUUCCUGUCAUGCCGAGCCCCAGCAUUCACCUGAGAACCCCAGAUGCAACCCCAGGUAGCUUUGUCAAAAUAUUGUGGGAUUUUACCCGCAAUAUCAUGGGUUCUACCCAGCCACCUCAGUACGAGCUGUUCAAAUCAAGGAUCACCCCUUCCACCUCGGAAUAUUGGGCAGCAGUGCACAUCCCUCCCGUGGACUCCAAUCAAGAUCCAACGGAAGUUUCCUUCGUGGGGAAAUCUAUGCCAACCACACACUUGGCCAUAGAAGCUGCUGCGAAAGAAGCGAUUGCUCGCCUUCGAUCCGCAGUACCCUAUGCCCGCGAACGAGGAUAUUAUUACUUCCCGAGCCGUGCAGCACCCGGAGGAGUGACAUCUUUUCCCGGUGGACGCAUUGAGAGAGACCCAGUCCUGGCCAACCUUGUCCAGUACGUCAUCGCUCAAGAACGUUUAACCCAACGUGUGAUGGGUUAUCUUCAGAGCCUCACAGAUUUAAAUCCUCAGAUCGCCAUCGGCAGAGCACUAAGGCCCGACCAGGAGAGACACGUACAUCGACUGGUCAAUCCACUGCCUCCGAUAGAAGAGGAGUGUAUCCCAGUACCAGAGACAUUUUAUCAGGACCCCACCCAGUUACCGUUUUCAUUUUAGACGUCACUACUGUAUUUGUUUUUGCAGCAUUUAUAUUUGCGUGUAUCUUAUGCAUGGUACCCCAAAUUUGUGCGACGAGUCGAGUCUUUAGUUUCUACUGGUAUGAGUAAUUUUUCUUCGUGAUUAACUUGUGUAACCGCGAAAGAUCCUAGUAUGAGUUUUCUUUUUACUGAAUUGCUGCAUCAUUUAUCCCCUCACUACGUGGAUUAUUAUUAUUUUUAUUCACGCAGCACCACGGCAGCAGUCUCACAACCGCUCGAACGCAUAUGGAACUUUUGUUUUUCACAACGGCUCUUAGCAAAUCUCGAGGACGAGAUUUUUCUUAAGGGGGGUAGUAUUGUAACACCCCAAAAAUUUAACCAGGUUUUAGUUAUUAAAAUUUUGCCAAGAGUUUAAAUUUUUUUUGCAUGCAAGUAUAUCUCUGUUGAUUUCAAAACUUUUCUUUUAAUAUUAAGAAAUUUUUCCCAAGUGGAUCCUUCCAAAAUAUAUUGGACUUAUUUUCCCUCUCAUUUAAAAAAACAUCUCUCAAUCAGGAGAUUUAUUUAUAAAAUUAUUUCACCCUGAGCUUUAUUCAUCAAAUGACUUGUUUUAAAAUUUGGAGCUCUUUUUGAACUACAACCAUUUGAUUUAUUUAACAAAAAAUUUCACCAAGGUUUGGAGAUAUCAUGUGAUGUCUCUAAAUCACUUUUGUGCAAUAAUAUAUUUCAUUCAUUGGAUAUUUUGAGUUCUACACCAAGUUUUCAAAUCUGGUCCAGUGGGCAAUUUUGCACUACAACCCUUUUAAAUAAUUCUUUCUAGUCUCCAUCAAAAUUAUGGGAUAUUAGUAGUAGCAUAUGAUUCAAUAUUAUGCAAAAACCUAGUGUUGUUCUUUGAAAAUUUUGAGUGAAUCAACCUCUUUUUCAUUCUGGUCCAGCCUUGUGAUUUCUACUGCAACCCUAUUUAAUUUUGCUCCAAAGAUCUUGUGUUUUCUCCUACUUGUAGACAGCCCUACCAAACCCCUAAAUCCAGGAGCAUGCACCCAUUGGAUUAAUUUUGGUUCAUGAAAUAAUGUCAUUUAUUUCUUGUCCAGAAAUGUAGUUUUGCAAAACUUGCACUAGCAAGUUUCCCCCUUUGUCCAAAUAACCUCACCACUCUCUCUUGCAUCUAAGGAGACACUGAUCUGGAGUUUUUGACCACUCCAAGACUUGCCUAAGUGCCUGUGGCAUUUUGUCAAACACCUGGAGUGCAUGGUCAGAUUUGGCAUGGAUUUUAGUUAGCAGUGUGAACUUGAUCCUCUGACCCCUUAAGCUUGUCCAUUGAUCUCCUUGCAAGCCAUAGCCUAGACCUGCUAACUCCCAGCUCCAACCAAGCGCUCUGGAGUGCCAUGGCAUUUCGCCGAGCAUCUGGUGUGCGUGCGCUGGGCGCGCCCAGAGCGCGCAAAUUGCAGCCGCACACACGAGCCGCCGCGUUGCGCCCCUGUCUUGGCCCACACUACAGAACCUCGCCACGCACUCCCCGCCUCGCCACAACACGACAGCCCGCCCUGGCGCCCUACAGCGCCACCGCCAGAGCACUUUUGGCGGCACGCCGGCGUCGGCCGACAGCCCUGCGCCGUUCAGCGCCGCCCAAGCCACCCCGGCUCGCCACCUGGCCCCUUGAACAGCUCAAGCUCAUCCACAAGGGUGUCGCCUAGCUCUCGUUGCCGCCACGUUCCCCUGCAGCUACAGAAUGGCGGUUCGCCGGCCGCCUUAUCCACCGCCGCGGAACCGACCUUGUCGUGCUAUAAAAGGGACCCCGAGCCCCUCUGAGCACGCACGCAACCUCAAGCUACCCCCAUGGAACCCCCAUAGCCCGCAAUCGUCAGGGAAACGUCGCCUUCUUCAUCUCCGGCAACUCCUGCCGCCGCCAUGGCCCCAGCUCUUCCAGUGCCACCAGGGCCUCUCCCUCCCAUUUCUCUUCACCAAGAACACCUCCUUCCUUCCAGGAACCCAACCCCCUACUCGAUUUUGAUCGGGAACCACAUUCGCCCCAAAACCAGUCUGCCACCGAAGCCUCCUCCGCCGCGAAGCUCGCCGCCGGCAACUCCCUCCAUCCCCACCGGCCUGGCGACCACCGGGAGGACCGCCCUGGAGUGGCGGAUCCAUCCCCACCCUCGAGGCCCCGCGAGGAGCCGCCAGUCGCCGGCGAUGAUCGCCGGAGCUCCGCCUCCGCUCGGGACAGAGAAAGAAGGGGGAAAAAGAAAUAGGCAAACCUGACUAGUGGGGUGUCUCACCGCGCCGUCCACGUGUUUAAGUGAAGGCGUAAUCCACCCCAGUACGUUUCUCCCGCUUCGAAAGUGUAUUCCAUUCUGAAACGUUUUUCUUUUUCUGUUUUAUUUAAAAUCAGAUUUGACCAAAACUUUGACUGGUUAUAUCUUUUUAAAUACAACUCCAAAUGAAAUGAUUCUUUUUCCUACCUCUCUCAAAUUUCACCUAGUUUAUUUUAAGAUUUAUUUGAAAAAAAAUCAGAACAACUUUUGGUGCUGUUUUUAUUUUGUGUGUUAAUUCUUUUAUAUUGCUAAAAUAGGAUUUUUGAAGAGAGGAGAAAUGUUUCAAGUUUUGGAGUGCACCCUGCCUUUCCACACAUUGAAGGCAAGCAUUCUAAACCCUGGCAUAAUAUUUUUGUGUGUUUGAUGACACGUUCAUAACAUCACCUCACUUUGGAGAAACUUGUUAUUUCAUGUGAUAUGAUCAUAUGCAUGGGUGCAUGUUAUUGAUUUCCAUGCUGUUGGAAAUGGACACACUUGUGAUGAUAAUCACCCUCAUGUGCCUUGCAUGCAUACCGGCAGGAACCCGGGAAAACCUCUGCCUUGGGUAGGCAUGAGUUUGUCGCCGGUCUCCGUCGGGACGGUUAUGUCUGGUAGGGCAUGGCAAGGUGAUAUGAGCGGUGACUCUGUUGGUUGAAAUAUAUUCGUCAUGCUAAUCUUGCAGGGAAUACUUAAACCUCCUGAGUCGACCGUAGAUCGAGUCUUGUGCCAGUAACCCCCAUACUUGUUUCGUACUACCACUCGUCUCUACAGCAAGUAGAGUACGGUUCAGUAAGUUGUCAACCUCUUUCUAGCACACACCGUAUAGAGAGGCCAUGGUGGAAGAUACCGGUUGUAGCUGGUAGGCAGGCCACCUGGUCCGGGGGCAUGGGUGUUUCCGGUUGGGACCGAGAGGGGAGGCCACCCCUUAGAGCGCGCGAUAUAAAUUUGAUCCCAUGCUACGCGAGGUUGUAGCCUCCCCACUUAGAGUUUUCUUAACAGGUGUCGUGGGUGAUUCCAGACACGUGUGAGAUAAGCUGGUGUGUGCAAGUUAGGUGUGUUUUCAACAAAAAGACCAUAGACGGAAUUAGUCCCGAUGGACUAAAGAAAUCCGUUACUCGUGGGUAAAGAGUACACCCUCUGCAGAGAUGAAACCUAUUCGAAUAGCCAUGUCCAUGGUUAAGGAUUACAGUCUGGGAUGGGUCAAGUGUCGGUCUUAGUGUCGGUCUUCGGAGGUGAAACUGUUAACCAGAACUGGAACUACUACCUGUGACUUGUGAUAAUUAUGAUUAUUAUUAUUGUUGACUAAUCCGUGAUAUUAUUGUUAUUAUCGAGUAUCUCUGGGAUGGUUCUACCUCUGGGAUAUUCACUAUGAUUGUUUAUUUUAAAGCCCUUUUUGUGGUGUCGCUCAGACGCCCGACUGUGGCAUUUCUUUUAAAGCCCUUUAUGUGGUGUCGCUCAGACGCCCGACUGUGGCAUUUCUUUUAAAGCCCUUUAUGUGGUGUCGCUCAGACGCUCAACUGUGGCAUUUCUUUUAAAGCCCUUUAUGUGGUNNNNNNNNNNCCGGGAAAACCUCUGCCUUGGGUAGGCAUGAGUUUGUCGCCGGUCUCCGUCGGGACGGUUAUGUCUGGUAUGGCAUGGCAAGGUGAUAUGAGCGGUGACUCUGUUGGUUGAAAUAUAUUCGUCAUGCUAAUCAUGCAGGGAAUACUUAAACCUCCUGAGUCGACCGUAGAUCGAGUCUUGUGCCAGUAACCCCCAUACUUGUUUCGUACUACCACUCGUCUCUACAGCAAGUAGAGUACGGUUCAGUAAGUUGUCAACCUCUUUCUAGCACACACCAUACAGAGAGGCCAUGGUGGAAGAUACCGGUUGUAGCUGGUAGGCAGGCCACCUGGUCCGGGGGCAUGGGUGUUUCCGGUUGGGACCGAGAGGGGAGGCCACCCCUUAGAGCGCGCGAUAUAAAUUUGAUCCCAUGCUACGUGAGGUUGUAGCCUCCCCACUUAGAGUUUGCUUAACAGGUGUCGUGGGUGAUUCCAGACACGUGUGAGAAAAGCUGGUGUGUGCAAGUUAGGUGUGUUUUCAACAAAAAGACCGUAGACGGAAUUAGUCCCGAUGGACUAAAGAAAUCCGUUACUCGUGGGUAAAGAGUACACCCUCUGCAGAGAUUAAACCUAUUCGAAUAGCCGUGUCCAUGGUUAAGGAUUACAGUCUGGGAUGGGUCAAGUGUCGGUCUUAGUGUCGGUCUUUGGAGGUGAAACUGUUAACCAGAACUGGAACUACUACCUGUGACUUGUGAUAAUUAUGAUUAUUAUUAUUGUUGACUAACCCGUGAUAUUAUUGUUAUUAUCGAGUAUCUCUGGGAUGGUUCUACCACCGGGAUAUUCACUAUGAUUGUUUAUUUUAAAGCCCUUUGUGUGGUGUCGCUCAGACGCCCGACUGUGGCAUUUCUUUUAAAGCCCUUUAUGUGGUGUCGCUCAGACGCCCGACUGUGGCAUUUCUUUUAAAGCCCUUUAUGUGGUGUCGCUCAGACGCCCGACUGUGGCAUUUCUUUUAAAGCCCUUUAUGUGGUGUCGCUCAGACGCCCGACUGUGGCAUUUCUUUUAAAGCCCUUUGUGUGGUGUCGCUCAGACACCCGACUGUGGCAUUNNNNNNNNNNUUUAUGUGGUGUCGCUCAGACGCCCGACUGUGGCAUUUCUUUUAAAGCCCUUUAUGUGGUGUCGCUCAGACGCCCGACUGUGGCAAUUCGUUUAUAGCCCUUUAUGUGGUGUCGCUAAGACGCCCGACUGUGGCUUUGCUUGUUAUUUAUUUCAUAACUUUUAAUACUACUAUGUUAUUGCAUUUUUACAAAUAACCGCCUGCACGCAUCAGAAUUUUAUUUACUAUUGUUGACUGACGUCAUGAGCAUAAAAUAUUUUCAGCACAUCAUUGUUAUAUUAUACCUGUGUUCAUAAUGUUUGCGAGUACAUUCAAAGUACUCACUGGCUUGUCCCUGGCUAUUGUCUUGGCCAGAUUUCUUGCGCGGAAAGGAGCGACCAUGUUGAAAGCCCCGGAACCCACACAAUGGAGAUAGCAGCCUCGCGAAGAUAGGAGUUAACCUGGUCAGCUGUUCCUGUUGGGAAAUGGAGUCCCAUAGACACUGAUGUUUCACAACCCGCUUCCGCCAUCAACCACUAGAAACCUUUUGUUGUACUCACAGGCCAGAACGGUCUUGUACUACAUAUUUUGUAUUUUCUUGGAAUUUCUGUAUCAAGUUGGAGCCUCAUCAGCUAACAGUAAUCCUGGGGCUGAUGAGCACGACGGUCUUUUUCUGGAAAUUUAUACCCGGAAAACCGGUCGUGACAUGUUCAGUGAUUGGCAUGGCAAGAACUAGAAAUGUGGACCCCUCAAAAUGCUAAGGACAAGGAUUGGCAAAAGCUCAGGACUCUACAUUUUUGGUUCAGUGAUCCAAGAUAGGGGAUGAGGUGUUGCUUAAUGAUCCUAUUGCUCAAGUGCUUAGUGAUAUUGCUCCAAAAUCCUCAGCCACUUUCUCCAUCCAAGUAUGUUUAAACCCUAAAUUCCAACAUGGCCCCACCGAUAUUUCCUACCCGGAGCCACCGAGUUCAUCUGGACUUAGCCACUGCCAAAACCCUAACAAUUCGAAUCCACCGAUAUGGAUCUCGGUCCCAUCGAGAUGGCCUUGCCAGCUCUCUGUUGCUUAUUGCAAUUAUUUCAGUUCCAUUGAGAAUUGCAAUCGGUCCCACCAAGAUGGCUUGACGGAUUCUCUGUUGCCUUAUUGCUUCACUUUGAUCCCACUGAGAUGAUGCAAUUGGUGCCACCGAGACGAGGUUUUCCCUAAGCCCUUGCACAUCGGUCCCCCCGAGUUGUUCCCGUCAGUCCCAUCGAGAUUCCUAACAUUCAUAUUUUACACAGAUCAGUGCCACCGAGUUUUUUGAUCGGUGCUACCGAGAUGGGUCAAAAGUGUGUAAAGGUUGGAUUUUGUGUGGAGGCUAUAUAUACCACUCCACCCCUUCUUCCUCAUUGAGGAGAGCCAUCAGAAUGUGCCUACACUGCCACCAUUCAUUUCUGAGAGAUAACCACCUACUCAUGUGUCUAGAGCAAGAUAUUGCAAUCCUACCAUUUGAACCUUGAUUUCUAGCCCUCCCCAAGUUGCUUUCCACUCAAAUCCUUCUUCCACCAUAGCCAAAUCUGUGACAGAAAGUUGAGUGCUAGGGAGACUAUCAUUUGAAGCACAAGAGCAAGGAGUUCAUCAUCAACAUGACGUCUAUUACCUUUUGGAGAGUGGUGUCUCCUAGAUUGUUAGGUGUCGCUUGGGAGCCUCCAACAUGAUGUGGAGUUGAACCUAGAAGUUUGCAAGGGCAAGGAGAUAACCUACUUUGUGAAGAUCUACCCGAUUGAGGCAAGUCCUUCGUGGGUGAUGGCCAUGGUGGGAUAGACAAGGCUGCUUCUUCGUGGACCCUUCAUGGGUGGAGCCCUCCAUGGACUCACGCAACCAUUACCCUUCGUGGGUUGAAGUCUCCAUCAACGUGGAUGUACGAUAGCACGACCUAUCGAAACAACGCCAAAAAUCUUUGUGUCCCCAUUGCGUUUGCCUUCUCCAAACCCUUUUCCUUUACUUACAUGUGCAAUGUUCUACAUUCCACAAGUAUACUCUUAGACUUGCAUGUGUAGGGUGUUACUUGACUUGUCAUAAUUGAUAAAAUCUGCCUACAGCUAAAAUUGGGAAAAGGACAGAUUUUUAUUUGGUCAAGUAGUCUAAUCACCCCCUCCCUCUAGACAUACUUUCAAUCCUACAAUAUCCCAGCCAUAACAAACGUUGUUUUUCCCGCAACCCUAGUUAGCUUAUGCAUCUCGAUACAUACAAAGAGAGUGGGCUCCCAUGGCCGCCGCCGUUGCUCCAAAGAUCGAUGUCCACCGCUACUAGAUGAGUUGUGGCACUGCGACUGCUGUGGUCAUGGGAUCUGCCAACACUGUCAUUGUUGCAACCCUUGUGUUGCAAGUUGCAACACCACAGUCGUCACAACUCGAAGGGCAGCGCCGACCGCUACACACCAUCUGCAUCCCCUCGCCGCGACAUUCGAUGUUUUGCACUCACAACAUAGGACAUGUUGCGAGCCGGUGGCACCGCUGAUUCAUCCCUUCUCCGCGGCAUCAGAUGUGUUGUAAUCGCAGCAUCCAGCAUGUUGCAAUCGCCGGUGUUGCCGGAAGCACCGAUCUGCAACAUGGAUCGUGUUGCGAUGAGAUCUGCAACAUGGCUCAUAUUGCAAUGUGGAGAUGGGUGGUCGCAAGGUGGGCAUCCCAUGAUCGGACGGCUCGUGAUUUGAUCGAUCUUUGCCAAAAGAUCAGCCAUCCGACACGUGGUGUGGUCGUUAUUAAGAUGUAAACAAUUAGCUAUUUUUUCAGUUGUGUGGAUGUCACACACCCCUACAUUCCUGUCACUGGGAAAAGGAACAAAGGAAUCUCUAAAGAUAAUAUGCUCUCUCGAAAUUGAGGCCUUUGGUGCAUCGUUGGUAGAUUGGAUGCGUGGGUCCGUAAAAGGGCGUUCACUUUUUCAACCGCUUGGAUCCAGCUAUUGGAUGCGUGUGACACACACGCGUCGCUGAUUGACAAUGGAUCAUAUGUCCUAUAUAUACCUAAAUAGUUGUCCCUGUUAUCUCUUUUAUCUUAACAUGUACACAUGUCGCCUCAUUAAAGGGCCAUCACAACAUGCAUGAGAUUAUUUUUUUCAUUAUUAGUUGAUCUUCAUUACUUCUAUUUAUCUUAACAUGCACACAUCCCACCUAAUCACACAUGCCACCUCAUUAAGGGCCCACUCAUCAUGCAUGUGAAUUUUUUUCUACGUAUUAUUACAUCACCUAUAUUCAACAAAUAUUUUUCAACUAUAAUUUGUAUCGGAGGGAGUAUGUAUUUUAAGUUUUAGUUCAUGUGCUAUUAAUUCAAUUAUUCAUGUUUCAUACGAUCAAAUCACAUUAAAAUAUAUUGCAACUGAUUCCCCCAGCAAAGCGUGUGGUAUCAUAUAGUAUCACAUAUGUAGGAACACAACAGUCACACACCACUCCAAAAAAAACUCAUGUCCAAUCUAAAGUCAAGGACCAAGCCAGCCACACCAACGGCCUGCGAAAAUAAAUGACACAACACACACACACACAUCCUUCAACAAACAUCAACAAUAAAACGGCUUAAAAAGUACACAACCGACGCAACAAUAUUUUUUAAAUAGGCGCAGCAAAGUUUUUCUUUUGAGAUCUUUUUUGNNNNNNNNNNNNNNNNNNNNNNNNNNNNNNNNNNNNNNNNNNNNNNNNNNNNNNNNNNNNNNNNNNNNNNNNNNNNNNNNNNNNNNNNNNNNNNNNNNNNNNNNNNNNNNNNNNNNNNNNNNNNNNNNNNNNNNNNNNNNNNNNNNNNNNNNNNNNNNNNNNNNNNNNNNNNNNNNNNNNNNNNNNNNNNNNNNNNNNNNNNNNNNNNNNNNNNNNNNNNNNNNNNNNNNNNNNNNNNNNNNNNNNNNNNNNNNNNNNNNNNNNNNNNNNNNNNNNNNNNNNNNNNNNNNNNNNNNNNNNNNNNNNNNNNNNNNNNNNNNNNNNNNNNNNNNNNNNNNNNNNNNNNNNNNNNNNNNNNNNNNNGUUUUGUUAGAAAUCUUUUUUUUUUUUUGAGAUCAGGCGCAGCGAAGUGCGUGUCAACUUCUAGUCCAAAUUGGCCUCUUAGGCUCAUGGGCUAUCAUCAUCAUUUAAAAGCAUCCAAUAUUUUGUUAGUCCAUGACCGGCCCGUAGCGGGAGUCUUAACAGAUCGAACCAUCGCAACGAGCCCACAAUAGCCUGAUAGUCCCACGCUGCAGCGAGGCAGUCGGUGGUCGGACCUGCGGGUCGUCCCCUCCCUUGAGGCCCCCGCGCGCCAUGGACGGAGAGCAAGGUCGGCAGCGGCCGGACUCCGGCAAGAACCUCAUAAAGAUCCCGUCCUACCAAGAGGUCUUCGGUAACGGAGCAGCUGCCUCCUCCUCCUCCUCGACGCCCCCCUCCUACAACCCUCCUCUCCCCAGCGCCGCCGCUGCCGCUGCCGGCUCUUCGUCGUCGUCGUCGUCGUUCUCCGAGGCCUUCUCCUUCCUCAAAUCCUCCGAGUUCUACUCCCCUCCCCCGCCGCCUCCACAGCAAUCCACCGCUCCUAGGUACCAUCUCCCUCGCCCUCUCCUCGGAUUCUCUCAGUGAGGCCUCACCCCUCUAGGUUCGGUUUCUUUGAACAGGCCGCCUCUGGCUGGCGCCACCACUACGCCGUCCCAGAGCAAGAACGCCAUUCUCGUGAGCAAUAGGCAGGUAAUGGAGUGUGGUGAUGAUUUGGUACUUUUCUUCUUAUUAAUCAAUCUUCUCCCCUUUCUUUUGUGUUAAAUUUGGAGUCUUUGUUCGUUUCUCACUUGGCAGAAAGGGAACCCAUUACUGAAGCACAUCAGGAAUGCGAGGUGGACGUUCGCUGACAUUGUUCCAGACUACGUGAUUGGGCAAUCAUCAUGUGCACUCUACAUAAGGUUCUUGCUCUAUCAUUCUAUUUGUUGGUUUCUUUUUCUCGACUCGUUUUGCAGUAGAAGAACAAUGCCAAGAAGGCACAAAGUGAAACUCAAACAAAAACAAGGAUAAAUAAACAAACAGAAAGAAGGUUGGCAGGGAAUCGAAAGUAAGCCUAAACUAGGCUAUUCCACCAAAAACAGAGAGGUGGCGAGGGACACCCUCUAUUUUGUUGCUGGCUUCACUGCAUGUAUUGUUACCAUUGGGGGCCAAUAUUAGAACCAGAGAUACGCGAAAAUACUGUGCAUGUAACAGAUACAUUUCGCUAGGGGUGUUCGAAAACGGGGUUUACUGCCUGCUUCCCUUUUUCAUGGGUUCAUGUGGAAUCCUUAUUUGAACACCCUAGCAUUUCAUAUAGUGCACUGCACUACCAAUCCUACCAAUCUAUUAGACAACAAGUUUGGAGCAGUAGUACUGUGAUCUUAGUGAUCUGCCUGUUGCUAGUAAAGGUUUUGUGCCCUGGUGUGUACCGUGAGGUAGUGGCAUGAUUCUUACCAUGUAACUUUGGUCGAUGCAGUCUCAGGUACCAUCUUCUUCACCCAGACUACUUGUACUAUCGGAUAAGGGAGCUCCAAAAGAAUUUCAAACUCCGUGUCAUCUUGUGCCAUAUUGAUAUUGUGAGUUUGAAUCAUCUGACCAACAUAUUUUGCUUUAAUUGGGAAAUAAAGUUUGAGACAUCUCAAAAAGGUUGUUUAUUAAUCCAUGUUCAUAUACUUCAUGAUCAGGAAGAUGUAGUAAAGCCUUUACAUGAAGUCACAAGGACAUCACUGCUGCAUGACUGCACCCUUCUGUGUGGUUGGAGGUAUUAUUCAGAACAUUCUUAUAUGCUGGGAUUAUGCAAUACCAUGUUUAAUUAUGUUCCCUUUGUUUUAGUUCUGCAUUGUUGCUUCGGUUGUUUAUAAAUGUAAUUACAAUCAUAAGAUCUUCUUGUUUAGGUUCCUUUGCUCUGAAAUAAAACUGCGACCGUGCACUGCUUAGUAAUCUCAUUAUUAAUACUUGUUGAGCAUUUUGCAUACGAAAAUUAGAUCCAAGAAUGGAUGCAUGUACAUGUUAAAGAAAUGCUAAUGGCUCUCCAACAUGCUAACUGGAAAGUUUUAGUAACAACAUGAUGAUGUACUGAUUAGGUUGCAAAGGCUUACUAAGAUACUCUUUGACCAAACUGUUCUCUCUUGUAGUCUGGAGGAAUGUGGCAGGUACUUGGAGACUAUUAAAGUGUUUGAAAACAAGCCAGCUGACAGCAUUCGCGAGCACACAGAUAAUGAUUAUUUAUCUCGGGUAUGCACCCUUACAGUUACAACAUGGUUUAAUCUAUCUAUCUCAUUAACUGGACUGGGACGGAUUAAUAAGUAUGUUGAGUAAUUAAGAUUUGCGGAAAAGAAAUCCCGCAACUUCAGCAAUACUCAGUAUUGCUUUUUCAUUUAUCAAGUUCCAAGCUUUGCAAGUGUUUCAAACUUUCAAUACAGAAGUUAUAUCGUCCUUUUGGGCUGACUAUUAGCAGUUGACUCAUUAUUUGCUGUAACAACGAUCAUUAUUUGGUGGUUUCAAUACUCAAUUAUAUCGCCCUGUUCGGAGUGUCCAUUGUGUUAACAACGAUCAUUAUUUGGUGUAUUACUCAUUUAUGCUGUGGUUCUGGUUUUGGCAGUUCACUCAUGCUCUUACAUCCAUCCGGCGUGUUAACAAAACAGAUGUUAUCACACUUGGUUCGUCUUUUGGGGUAAGAUGGAAUAAGAACUGGAACUAUACAUUGUCUUCCAUAAUGUAUUGGAUAUGGUUGUGUACAGCUUUAUUACUGUAAAAAUGGUAGCAUUUCACCUGACAAGAUCACCCAUCAAACAAUUCACAAUAUAAUUACAUGCAUCGGGUCUCGUAUUUGCAGUCACUUUCCCGAGUCAUGGAUGCUUCUAUGGAAGAACUAGCUCGUUGUCCAGGAAUUGGCGAACGGAAGGUGCCACUUCAAACCUCGAAUUUUAUUUGUCAUGGUUCAUGUUGUUACCCAACAUUUUUUUUUCCGAUCAUCCCAUAGAUAUAAUAAGCUACAGCCAUGUUUGCAUUGCUUUACUUUUCCGCUUAAUAACAUGAAAGGCCAUGUUUCGCUAGGCUAACAUGUAGAGUUUGUCGAACGUAGGUAAAGCGACUUCAUGAUACUUUUCAUGAGCCAUUUAAACGCGUUACGCCCCGCCCAAACCUCGUAGUACCUGAUACUCCCGACAGAGAGAAAGCGUCUGGUCAGCCUUCAUCGACCAACGAUGGCACGCCGGAAAAGCCAGGCACUUCCAAGAACAAGAAAGGCCCUGAUGUCAAAUCGGCCCUUACUGCUGCAUUUGCGAAGUACUCAGAAAAGAUCCGCAGUCAGGGCCGCGAGGCGGCCCAUGAGGCUGGUGAAGGUCCUAGCAGCUCAACCAUGGAAGGUGACAAGACAAAACAAUUAGAUUAGCAGUAGGAAGGAGUAGGAAGCGGCACGUGCAAAUGUACUGCUGUUGUUGUAGCUGCAAAAUUUGCUUCCUCUGUUUAUUGCUCCUAAACAAGGGUGAAUUUUGCAUUGUACUAAUUGUUGUUGUAGUGUAGGCUUUCCUUUUUCUCAACAAGGGGUGGAUUUUGCAUUGUUAUGCAGGCCUUCUCUUUCCUGUCAACACAAUUUAGCCGAUCUUCUCGUUUUUUCUGUCAGUAUACGUUUCUGCCUUGGAGAACUCUCAGAGCCAUCCAAAAGCACACCGGAAAAUGUAAUCUGUAUUUUGUGACAAACAUUGCCAUGCUUCGUUGUUCUUGUUCAGCAACUGAAGCAGUCGGCUCAAUGAACUUUCGUGUUUAGGUUCCGAAGAUGCGUUUGCGAACGGUUGCCUCUUCAGUAGCUCAAUGCUGCGUACUUUUCGCACAACUUGGUACUACUUGCUGCCCAAAAAUAGAACUCAAACUCUACUGGGCAAGUUCUGAUAUUGAUACAUUCAAAACUGGGAGCAUAAGUUCAGCAAAGCUCUUAAUAUAAAUGGGCUCUACUUGCAUCCUUGGUUGAUUAUUAUUUUCAUUCAAUGUUCUGCAAUGGAGGGCCGCAACCAGGCAGGGAUCAAAUGAUAAUGCUUCAGCGACAAAAUUAUACAUGCCACUGCUGGAUAGAGUACAAUUUAUUUAUUUUGCAUUCUUCUGCAAGCUGUUUGAACCAACGGGCACCCUACACAAUCUACGGGAUAAUCACAAAUGUUUGAAUGAUAGGUGUGGCCAUAGCAGGGGAAUGCACAGGACCACAAUCUAUGACCCACCAAAACCUAUUGAAUAAAAUAAACCAAAAAAAAAGCUAAAUAAAAACUAAUAUACACACUGAUGGCAACAGGCCAAGGAGCACGUCCCCAUUUUUUUCUUCUUCUGACGGCGCUUAUUCGGAUAUAUAUAUAUAGCUUCCGCGAGUACUGCUUCUCUUAUGAAACUCUCAGAUGAUGCGAAAGCCAAGUGCGGGUACCCAUAUCAGCUGAGUGUUUCACCUUGC